AUGGACUCCACGCACAGAACUGAUUCCCCGUUUCUCUCUCUCCAUCUCUCUCUUCUUUCUCUCUCCACAUCGUCCAUUCGUUAUCUCGUUUCUCUCCUUCUUCCACAUCAACUUCCCGUUUUCUGUCACACAUUCAAAACCUUUCAAUCACACCAUCUUUAUCCAUUAAGAUCUCGUCACUGCCACCACGUCAAUUUUUGGAAUGUCUCUCAAGAUCUGUGUAGGAGUGGAGUUUGA